rnacentral:misc_RNA from 1 species
UGCAAGAUCAGUCUUUCGACCUGAGUUCAUGAACAGGGUUGACGAGUACAUAGUUUUCCAGCCGUUGGAUCGCAAUCAGAUAAACAGUAUUGUCAGAUUACAGGUAAAUUUUCUUACCUUGAAGUUUGCUUGUCAUGGAUCAUUUAAUUCAGUUAAUUUAAUUUUCAUUCUGCUAGAAAUUGUUUGAGAUAAAACAUCAGCAGACAAUCUGAAAUCUGUUGACUGACCAAAUAUUUGUUAUAUCAUUUUGGAAAUUUGAUUUAUGUUGUAUCUUAUUUACUGGACUCACUUUGUAUCAUGAUUGAAAGGUUAACAAUUGGUUGGGUGUACUAGUUCUUUAUUUCUUUGUAUAGCCAAUUGAUUAAUUGCAACCAUAUCAAGGCUUCUGUAGAUUGUGUCAUGCAUAUGUUAGCAUACAUGUGAGCUUCGUUGGAUAUUCGACAACAUUAUAUGAAGGUUAUGGGACACAAAUUUUUGUUCUCUGAGAUGAUUGGUGUUUGAAUUUGGAUUUCGCUGGUGUUGUCCUCAGCGUGAGGUCAUUCUCUAUUUUGUAUUUUCAGAUUUUUACUUCAUGUUUAUGUGUGUAUUGCAGUUGGAACGUGUGCAGAAGAGGAUUGCAGAUCGGAAGAUGAAAAUACAGGUGACUGAGGCAGCUGUCGAGCUUUUAGG